rnacentral:rRNA from 1 species
GACGAACGCUGGCGGCGUGCUUAACACAUGCAAGUCGAACGGAAAGGCCCUGCUCUUGUGGGGUGCUCGAGUGGCGAACGGGUGAGUAUCACGUGAGUAACCUGCCCUUGACUUUGGGAUAACUUCAGGAAACUGGGGCGAAUACCGGAUAUGAGCUCCUGCUGCAUGGUGGGGGUUGGAAAGUUUCGGCGGUUGGGGAUGGACUCGCGGCUUAUCAGCUUGUUGGUGGGGUAGUGGCUUACCAAGGCUUUGACGGGUAGCCGGCCUGAGAGGGUGACCGGCCACAAUGGGACUGAGAUGCGGCCCAGACUCCUACGGGAGGCAGCAGUGGGGAAUAUUGCACAAUGGGCGGAAGCCGUAUGCAGCGACGCCGCGUGCGGGAUGACGGCCUUCGGGUUGUAAACCGCUUUCGCCUGUGACGAAGCGUGAGUGACGGUAAUGGGUAAAGAAGCACCGGCUAACUACGUG